AACCUCCGCAAUGCGAGCAAUCGCGACGGGGGGACCCCAAGUGCCACUUUAACGGGGUGGCUUUUCUUAAGUGCUUUUGGAUAAGGGCUGGCAAGACCGGUGCCAGCCGCCGCGGUAACACCGGCAGCUCAAGUGGUGGCCGUUUUUAUUGGGCCUAAAGCGUUCGUAGCCGGCCUGAUAAGUCUCUGGUGAAAUCCCAUAGCUUAACUGUGGGAAUGCUGGAGAUACUAUCAGGCUUGAGGUCGGGAGAGGUUGGGGGUACUCCCGGGGUUAGGGGGUG
rnacentral:rRNA from 1 species